rnacentral:rRNA from 1 species
ACUGCUCAGUAACACGUGGACAACCUGCCCUUAGGUUGGGUAUAAACCCGGGAAACAGGGUAUAAUACCCGAUAGGUCUCGAUUGCUGGAAUGCAUCGAGAUUUAAAGCUCCGGCGCCUAAGGAUGGGUCUGCGGCCUAUCAGGUAGUAGUGGGUGUAGCGUACCUACUAGCCUACGACGGGUACGGGUUGUGAGAGCAAGAGCCCGGAGAUGGAUUCUGAGACACGAAUCCAGGCCCUACGGGGUGCAGCAGGCGCGAAAACUUUACAAUGCUGGCAACAGCGAUAAGGGAACCUCGAGUGCCAGGUUACAAAUCUGGCUGUCGAGAUGCCUAAAAAGCAUUUCAUAGCAAGGGCCGGGCAAGACCGGUGCCAGCCGCCGCGGUAACACCGGCGGCUCGAGUGGUAACCGUUAUUAUUGGGUCUAAAGGGUCUGUAGCCGGCCGGAUAAGUCUCUUGAGAAAUCUGGCAGCUUAACUGUCAGGCUUUCAGGAGAUACUGUCUGGCUCGAGGCCGGGAGAGGUGAGAGGUACUUCAGGGGUAGGGGUGAAAUCUUGUAAUCCUUGAAGGACCACCAGUGGCGAAGGCGUCUCACCAGAACGGACCUGACGGCAAGGGACGAAAGCUAGGGGCACGAACCGGAUUAGAUACCCGGGUAGUCCUAGCCGUAAACGAUACUCGCUAGGUGUCGGCCACGGUGCGACCGUUGUCGGUGCCGUAGGGAAGCCGUGAAGCGAGCCACCUGGGAAGUACGGCCGCAAGGCUGAAACUUAAAGGAAUUGGCGGGGGAGCAC